ACCUGAUUCAGCGGCGGACGGGUGAGUAAUGCCUAGGAAUCUGCCCGAUAGUGGGGGACAACGUUUCGAAAGGAACGCUAAUACCGCAUACGUCCUACGGGAGAAAGUGGGGGAUCUUCGGACCUCACGCUAUCGGAUGAGCCUAGGUCGGAUUAGCUAGUUGGUGAGGUAAUGGCUCACCAAGGCGACGAUCCGUAACUGGUCUGAGAGGAUGAUCAGUCACACUGGAACUGAGACACGGUCCAGACUCCUACGGGAGGCAGCAGUGGGGAAUAUUGGACAAUGGGCGAAAGCCUGAUCCAGCCAUGCCGCGUGUGUGAAGAAGGUCUUCGGAUUGUAAAGCACUUUAAGUUGGGAGGAAGGGCAGUAAGCUAAUACCUUGCUGUUUUGACGUUACCAACAGAAUAAGCACCGGCUAACUUCGUGCCAGCAGCCGCGGUAAUACGAAGGGUGCAAGCGUUAAUCGGAAUUACUGGGCGUAAAGCGCGCGUAGGUGGUUCAGCAAGUUGGAUGUGAAAUCCCCGGGCUCAACCUGGGAACUGCAUCCAAGACUACUGAGCUAGAGUACGGUAGAGGGUGGUGGAAUUUCCUGUGUAGCGG
rnacentral:rRNA from 1 species